CCGGCCUCCCGUUUGGGCUCAGGGUUUCCAGAAGCCCAGGGCUGAAACUGGGCAGCCUUCCCGUGGGGGAAUCCCGUUGCCUGGCCUCCCACCUUUGCCCUCCCAAUCGCACACACUGGCGCGGGUGGGGAAAUUGAGGCUGGCGGAGAGGGACUGCAUUCCAGACGGAGAGGGGCAAGUGGGUGAAGGCAGAGCACACCUCCUCCUUGGGCCUCUUUCCACCGUCGGACAGAUGGCUGGCACUUCGUCUCACUCGCUCCUGCUUUCUAGUGGACAGACUGUGACCUGGGACUGUGAUUUCCCGUAAUUGCUCAGGACAUCGCACGACUGAUUUAACUCCUGGAAUUCCGAUUCCAUCCUAUUGGCACGAAGUGGAAACUCGGAGCUUUGAACAAACGUUCCAGGUGGUCUGUAGUGCCCACCCUUGGAGACACACUAUUGAAGAUUUCUCUGCGCCUCUCUGAGGAAAGAGGAGGACCUGGAGACAAGUCUGCCUCACAACUCAGGUCAGCGAGAGAAGCAUUCAAUGCACAGGAAGCACCUGAAGAAAGCUAUUCAAAUGGGCAACAAUGAGGAAGCUGAGGCUCCAAGAUGUCAAACAAUUUGCCCAGCAUUUUUUCUACCUCACGAGCAGUGGAACAACAAGCGAUUCUACCCAAAGGGUCACUGAAUCUGUGCUUCACCGUUCUGGCAGAAAAAUCGCAACACUUCCUACAAAGAAGAAAGGCUCACAUCAGGAGUUCUAGCCCCCCCCCCCCCCGCCCUAGGUAUUCUAGCUCUGGAUGUCAGAGAGCUACUUCAGAUCCAUUUGGUACAGGCUGUCCCUUCAUUGGUUUCUGCCAGAGUACAGGCCCCCUAGGAGCCCCCAUGUCUCUUCAGGUAAAUGGCAGCUGCCCUGGGGACUGGGCCUGGAGGUAGGACAGUUGUGGAGGGCUCCUGAGAGCAAGGCUUUGACUCUGGACUGCGUUUUUUUGACGAAGGCCUCUUGACUGACUCUGCACACACUGAGCCCACAGCUUCCUGGAUUUCUACUGGAGCCUUAAAACUCCAUGUGUCUGGGGGCUGGAGAGGUGGCUCAGUGGUUAAGAGCACGGACUGCUCUUCCUGAGGUCCUGAGUUCAAAUCCCAGCAACCACAUGGUGGCUCACAACCAUCUGUAAUAAGAUCUGAUGCCCUCUUCUGGUGUGUCUGAAGGCAGUUACAGUGUACUCAUAUACAAUAAAAUAAAAUCUU
rnacentral:lncRNA from 1 species